AUUGAACGCUGGCGGCAUGCUUUACACAUGCAAGUCGAACGGUAACAGGUUAAGCUGACGAGUGGCGAACGGGUGAGUAAUGCAUCGGAACGUGCCCGAUCGUGGGGGAUAACGCAGCGAAAGCUGCGCUAAUACCGCAUACGAUCUGAGGAUGAAAGCGGGGGACCGUAAGGCCUCGCGCGAUCGGAGCGGCCGAUGUCAGAUUAGGUAGUUGGUGGGGUAAAGGCCCACCAAGCCGACGAUCUGUAGCUGGUCUGAGAGGACGACCAGCCACACUGGGACUGAGACACGGCCCAGACUCCUACGGGAGGCAGCAGUGGGGAAUUUUGGACAAUGGGCGAAAGCCUGAUCCAGCAAUGCCGCGUGCAGGAAGAAGGCCUUCGGGUUGUAAACUGCUUUUGUACGGAGCGAAAAGGCCCUUUCUAAUACAAGGGGCUCAUGACGGUACUGUAAGAAUAAGCACCGGCUAACUACGUGCCAGCCGCCGCUGUAAUAC
rnacentral:rRNA from 1 species